rnacentral:rRNA from 1 species
AUUGAACGCUGGCGGCAUGCCUUACACAUGCAAGUCGAACGGUAACGGGCCUUCGGGUGCCGACGAGUGGCGAACGGGUGAGUAAUGCAUUGGAACGUACCUUUCAGUGGGGGAUAACGUAGCGAAAGUUACGCUAAUACUGCAUAUUCUGUGAGCAGGAAAGCAGGGGAUCGCAAGACCUUGCGCUGAUUGAGCGGCCGAUGUCAGAUUAGCUAGUUGGUGAGGUAAAGGCUCACCAAGGCGACGAUCUGUAGCGGGUCUGAGAGGAUGAUCCGCCACACUGGAACUGAGACACGGUCCAGACUCCUACGGGAGGCAGCAGUGGGGAAUUUGGACAAUGGGGGCAACCCUGGUCCAGCCAUGCCGCGUGAGUGAAGAAGGCCUUCGGUU